AACGAACGCUGGCGGCAGGCCUAACACAUGCAAGUCGAGCGCGCCCUUCGGGUGAGCGGCGGACGGGUUAGUAACGCGUGGGAACGUACCCUUUCUACGGAAUAGUCUCGGGAAACUGAGGGUAAUACCGUAUAAGCCCUUCGGGGAAGGAUUAUCGGAAGGAUCGGCCGCGUUAGAUUAGAUAGUUGGUGGGGUAAUGGCCUACCAAGUCUACGAUCUAUAGCUGGUUUUAGAGGAUGAUCAGCAACACUGGGACUGAGACACGGCCCACGACUCCUACGGGAGGCAGCAGUGGGGAAUCUUAGACAAUGGGCGCAAGCCUGAUCUAGCCAUGCCGCGUGUGUGAUGAAGGUCUUAGG
rnacentral:rRNA from 1 species